rnacentral:rRNA from 1 species
AUUGAGCGCUGGCGGCAGGCUUAACACAUGCAAGUCGAGCGGGGGAAGGUAGCUUGCUACCGGACCUAGCGGCGGACGGGUGAGUAAUGCUUAGGAAUCUGCCUAUUAGUGGGGGACAACAUCUCGAAAGGGAUGCUAAUACCGCAUACGUCCUACGGGAGAAAGCAGGGGAUCUUCGGACCUUGCGCUAAUAGAUGAGCCUAAGUCGGAUUAGCUAGUUGGUGGGGUAAAGGCCUACCAAGGCGACGAUCUGUAGCGGGUCUGAGAGGAUGAGCCGCCACGCUGGGGCUGAGACACGGCCCAGACUCCUACGGGAGGCAGCAGUGGGGAAUAUUGGACAAUGGGGGGAACCCUGAUCCAGCCAUGCCGCGUGUGUGAAGAAGGCCUUAUGGUUGUAAAGCACUUUAAGCGAGGAGGAGGCUACUCUAGUUAAUACCUAGGGAUAGUGGACGUUACUCGCAGAAUAAGCACCGGCUAACUCUGUGCCAGCCGCCGCGGUAA